rnacentral:rRNA from 1 species
GCCAGAGCAAUAUCACCCUGUAGCUCUUGCCUGGUUUCCCACUGAAGUUAAGCAGGAUUGUACCUGGAUAGUGCCUGGAUGGGAGACCUCCUGGGGAAAACUAAAGUUGGUGCUGGAA